CACAAUAAAAGAGAAAGGACUCUGCCUGCCUGUCUUUUUCAUUGCUCUUUUCUUGGGACCUGGGUCUGGCACAAACAGAUGAAUAUUCAAUAUAAAUGUAUUGAAUGAAUGAAUGAAUAUAAAUGUGAUCUUUCUUUUUUUCACUCCACCUUUCCCCCAUCAAGUGAGGAAGGAAAGCUCAAGCAGUUUACUAUUUUGGGAAAAUUGUGCCAUCGUGCCUAGUACAUAGUGUGUAUCAGACUUAAGAAAAGGACAAGAAUGAAACUAUUAAAAAAAUUUCUCCAACUAGCAAUUAAAAG
rnacentral:lncRNA from 1 species